rnacentral:rRNA from 1 species
UACGGGGGGGGCAAGCGUUGUUCGGAAUUACUGGGCGUAAAGGGCUCGUAGGUGGCUAACUAAGUCGGACGUGAAAUCCCUCGGCUUAACCGGGGAACUGCGUCCGAUACUGGAUGGCUUGAGUUUGGGAGAGGGAUGCGGAAUUCCAGGUAUAGCGGUGAAAUGCGUAGAUAUCUGGAGGAACACCGGUGGCGAAGGCGGCAUCCUGGACCAACACUGACGCUCAUGCACGAAAGCGUGGGGAGCAAACAGG